rnacentral:rRNA from 1 species
AACGACUCUCGGCAACGGAUAUCUCGGCUCACGCAUCGAUGAAGAACGUAGCAAAAUGCGAUACUUGGUGUGAAUUGCAGAAUCCCGUGAACCAUCGAGUUUUUGAACGCAAGUUGCGCCCAAAGCCAUCCGGCCGAGGGCACGCCUGCCUGGGCGUCACGCA